UACAGAGGGUGCAAGCGUUAUUCGGAAUUACUGGGCGUAAAGCGCGCGUAGGCGGCUUUGCAAGUCGGGUGUGAAAUCCCCAGGCUUAACCUGGGAACUGCAUUCGAGACUGCAUUGCUAGAGUAUGGGAGAGGGAAGUGGAAUUUCCGGUGUAGCGGUGAAAUGCGUAGAUAUCGGAAGGAACAUCAGUGGCGAAAGCGACUUCCUGGACCAAUACUGACGCUCAUGUGCGAAAGCGUGGGGAGCAAACAGG
rnacentral:rRNA from 1 species